GGGGGCGUCACGGUUUCGACGGGGACAUUUGAAGUUGUAGAAGCGUGCCGAGGUUCCUACAGGCCUCGUUAAACAGGUAGGAAACAUAUAAUCGCAGACAACUACGAUUACGCUUUAGCCGCUUA
rnacentral:tmRNA from 1 species